UUGAAAUUAGAGGUACAUUCACCUUAUUUCACUUAUUUUCAAAAAUAUGAUGUUUAUGAGGUGAAAUACUGAACUUAGAUCCAACACUGCGGAAAGAGACCAGUCCAUAAUCUAAGGUCAUUGGUAACUCUUAUUAGUGGCGUUUCUGUGCUGUAAUGGAUUCUAAAUCCUGACUGAAAGUCUUCCAACAAAACAUUACUGUGUAAGAAAUCACUGAACUGACUAGCAGCAGCUUAUUCAUGGAUUUUGGAAAUGAAGGGCAGGUUUGCUGUGGGUCUAAAAUUGAAGACCUGUAGAAGUGACCAUCAGCAAGAUAAGGGUAUUGCAGCAUUGAUUAGAAUAAAUACUUUGUAGCAUAAAUUAAUUGAUGGAUUAUUGUCUUCUUGUUAUCAUAGUCAACGAUCCCUGAAACUCCGGAAGUGUUUAGUGGACUCAAACACUUCACCCUCCUCUCCAUCGGCACAGUGGUAACAUCGCCGCCACCAUCACCACCACAACCCCUGCCACCACCUCCUGAUGGUGACGUAGAUGAAGAUGAUGCUUAAGAAGUCAAGGAGACGUAAAGAAGAGGAGGUGCAAAAGCAGAGAGAGGAGUAAUAACACGGAAGCUGUCUGGGGUUACUUACAUGCAGCCAUAUCAUUGGGUACAGCUGGCCUGCUGUUCCUGCUUGGUCUUCUCCAUGGCUAUACAAGCCACGCGCCUGAAAACACAAGGAGCUCACCACUCCUGCAGCUCGGGCGAGGGGAUGAGCCCCGCCGUGGCGUUCUUGGUGUUCUCCAGCUUUCCCUGCCACCAGUUGUGGUCGUCCUUGGAGAUGAUCUGAAUGAUGUCGCCCACCUGGAAGCGAACGCCCGC